CCUGAGCUGAGAUCCAGAGUCAGAUGCCUAACUGACUAAGCCACCCAGGCACUCCUCUAGUUACAUCUUAUAAUUGAGAAACUGGGAUACAGAGAGAUGAGAAAACAUGAAGGCAAGAUGGGGACAACUUGCCCAAAGGCAAGAAGGACAUCUGUGGAAGAGGCAGUCUAGAACCCGGGGUCCUUCUUCCUCCUUCCACAUCUUUCCAGAAGGAACUGCCUCCAGUGAGCUUCCAGGCCAUGAAGCCCUGGGAGCCCUCUUCUGAUACCGGUCCAGUGGACAGAGAGGAUAGGAACUGGGGGGCUCUGUUAUACUGCAGUGCCUCUAUCUGGGCCUCACAGCUUGCCAUCAAAAUGAAUAGAAGAUUGAGUUUUUCCUGGAAUGUUCUGGUUUUGGGGAUUGUUUCUCUCAUCGGCUUGGCUCUAAAGCCAAAAGGACUUUGCAUUGAGCAAAGUGAAGUCCAUGAGCUGCUUUGUAAAUUGUCUUCCUUAAACCAAGCUGAUGAUGUUUCCUUAUGAAAUGCAAUUUCUAUAUACAUGUUUUUUUUUUUU